rnacentral:rRNA from 1 species
AACGAACGCUGGCGGCAUGCCUAACACAUGCAAGUCGAACGAAAACUCCGGGUCUAGUGGCGCACGGGGGCGUAACGCGUGGGAAGCUGCCCUUAGGUACGGAAUAACUCCCCGAAAGGGGUGCUAAUGCAGGAUAAGGUCUUCUGACCAAAGAUUUAUCGCCUUUGGAUGGGCGCUGGUUGGAUUAGCUAGUUGGUAGGGUAAAAGCCGACCAAGGCGACGAUCCAUAGCUGGUCUGAGAGGAGGAUCAGCCACGCUGGGACUCAGACACGGCCCAGAAUCGUACGGGAGGGAGGAGAGGGGAAUAGAGGAGAAUGGGCGAAGGCCUGAUCCCGCAAUGCCGGGUAAGUGAUGAAGGCGGUAGGGUAGUAAAGCUCUUUUACCCGGGACGAUAAUGACGGUACCGGGAGAAUAAGCUCCGGCUAACUCCGUG